rnacentral:rRNA from 1 species
UGAUGGAGCGAUUUGUCUGGUUAAUUCUGAUAACGAACGAGACUCUAGCCUAUUAAAUAGUUCGUUGAUCACGCAUGUCGGCGUAAACUUCUUAGAGGGACUAGUGGCGUUUAGCCACACGAGAUUGAGCAAUAACA